GCCUUGUCGGGGUGGAUUAGUGGCGAACGGGUGAGUAACACGUGGGCAAUCUGCCCUUCACUCUGGGACAAGCCCUGGAAACGGGGUCUAAUACCGGAUAAUACUUUCUCUCUCAUGGGGGAAGGUUAAAAGCUCCGGCGGUGAAGGAUGAGCCCGCGGCCUAUCAGCUAGUUGGUGGGGUAAUGGCCUACCAAGGCGACGACGGGUAGCCGGCCUGAGAGGGCGACCGGCCACACUGGGACUGAGACACGGCCCAGACUCCUACGGGAGGCAGCAGUGGGGAAUAUUGCACAAUGGGCGAAAGCCUGAUGCAGCGACGCCGCGUGAGGGAUGACGGCCUUCGGGUUGUAAACCUCUUUCAGCAGGGAAGAAGCGAAAGUGACGGUACCUGCAGAAGAAGCGCCGGCUAACUACGUGCCAGCAGCCGCGGUAAUACGUAGGGCGCAAGCGUUGUCCGGAAUUAUUGGGCGUAAAGAGCUCGUAGGCGGCUUGUUGCGUCGGUUGUGAAAGCCCGGGGCUUAACCCCGGGUCUGCAGUCGAUACGGGCAGGCUAGAGUGUGGUAGGGGAGAUCGGAAUUCCUGGUGUAGCGGUGAAAUGCGC
rnacentral:rRNA from 1 species